AUAUCUUAGCCCUGGGUCAUUUAGUUCCUGUGUCGAUGAAUGCGGCUAGCUGUGAGAAUUAAUGUACAAUGCAGGACACAUUGAUCCGAAGGCACUUGCAGCCUCGGGUUCCUCCUGGGGCUUAUUUUUUUAAAAGGACA
rnacentral:rRNA from 1 species